GACGAACGCUGGCGGCGUGCCUAAUACAUGCAAGUAGAACGCUGAAGAGAGGAGCUUGCUCUUCUUGGAUGAGUUGCGAACGGGUGAGUAACGCGUAGGUAACCUGCCUUGUAGCGGGGGAUAACUAUUGGAAACGAUAGCUAAUACCGCAUAACAAUGGAUGACACAUGUCAUUUAUUUGAAAGGGGCAAUUGCUCCACUACAAGAUGGACCUGCGUUGUAUUAGCUAGUAGGUGAGGUAACGGCUCACCUAGGCGACGAUACAUAGCCGACCUGAGAGGGUGAUCGGCCACACUGGGACUGAGACACGGCCCAGACUCCUACGGGAGGCAGCAGUAGGGAAUCUUCGGCAAUGGGGGCAACCCUGACCGAGCAACGCCGCGUGAGUGAAGAAGGUUUUCGGAUCGUAAAGCUCUGUUGUAAGUCAAGAACGAGUGUGAGAGUGGAAAAUUCACACUGUGACGGUAGCUUACCAGAAAGGGACGGCUAACUACGUGCCAGCAGCCGCGGUAAUACGUAGGUCCCGAGCGUUGUCCGGAUUUAUUGGGCGUAAAGCGAGCGCAGGCGGUUUGAUAAGUCUGAAGUUAAAGGCUGUGGCUCAACCAUAGUUCGCUAUGGAAACUGUCAAACUUGAGUGCAGAAGGGGAGAGUGGAAUUCCAUGUGUAGCGGUGAAAUGCGUAGAUAUAUGGAGGAACACCGGUGGCGAAAGCGGCUCUCUGGUCUGUAACUGACGCUGAGGCUCGAAAGCGUGGGGAGCGAACAGGAUUAGAUACCCUGGUGGUCCACGCCGUAAACGAUGAGUGCUAGGUGUUGGAUCCUUUCCGGGAUUCAGUGCCGCAGCUAACGCAUUAAGCACUCCGCCUGGGGAGUACGACCGCAAGGUUGAAACUCAAAGGAAUUGACGGGGGCCCGCACAAGCGGUGGGGCAUGUGGUUUAAUUCGAAGCAACGCGAAGAACCUUACCAGGUCUUGACAUCCCGAUGCUAUUUCUAGAGAUAGAAAGUUACUUCGGUACAUCGGUGACAGGUGGUGCAUGGUUGUCGUCAGCUCGUGUCGUGAGAUGUUGGGUUAAGUCCCGCAACGAGCGCAACCCCUAUUGUUAGUUGCCAUCAUUCAGUUGGGCACUCUAGCGAGACUGCCGGUAAUAAACCGGAGGAAGGUGGGGAUGACGUCAAAUCAUCAUGCCCCUUAUGACCUGGGCUACACACGUGCUACAAUGGUUGGUACAACGAGUUGCGAGUCGGUGACGGCAAGCUAAUCUCUUAAAGCCAAUCUCAGUUCGGAUUGUAGGCUGCAACUCGCCUACAUGAAGUCGGAAUCGCUAGUAAUCGCGGAUCAGCACGCCGCGGUGAAUACGUUCCCGGGCCU
rnacentral:rRNA from 1 species